AAAUUGAAGAGUUUGAUCAUGGCUCAGAUUGAACGCUGGCGGCAGGCCUAACACAUGCAAGUCGAGCGGUAGCACAGAGAGCUUGCUCUCGGGUGACGAGCGGCGGACGGGUGAGUAAUGUCUGGGAAACUGCCUGAUGGAGGGGGAUAACUACUGGAAACGGUAGCUAAUACCGCAUAACGUCGCAAGACCAAAGAGGGGGACCUUCGGGCCUCUUGCCAUCAGAUGUGCCCAGAUGGGAUUAGCUAGUAGGUGGGGUAACGGCUCACCUAGGCGACGAUCCCUAGCUGGUCUGAGAGGAUGACCAGCCACACUGGAACUGAGACACGGUCCAGACUCCUACGGGAGGCAGCAGUGGGGAAUAUUGCACAAUGGGCGCAAGCCUGAUGCAGCCAUGCCGCGUGUAUGAAGAAGGCCUUCGGGUUGUAAAGUA
rnacentral:rRNA from 1 species